rnacentral:lncRNA from 1 species
AGAGAAAGAACUAUGGGCUCCGCCCCUCCAGCCGCGGUCAUCACAGAAUGGCCUGGCACGGUGACCACGGAGUGCCCUGGCACCGGUGCCCGCGGCUGUGACGGAAAAAGGGUGGGAAGAACAGGGAAGAGGAAGCAGAAACAGGUUAUCUGUUCACUCUGAUGGUAGAGAAGACCUUAAAUGACCUGAUGGAGCUGAAAACCAUGGCGAGAACUUCCUGCCUUCGAUUUCUCACAAGCUCGGGCAUACCACGAGGCUUGGAGACUCAAAACCUGAAGAGCCUGCAAUCAGAUUUCUCCCUUACUAUUCCUGCUCAUUGUCUUCUGUGGACUAAUACUGAACAUGAAACUUUGCUUACAGUUUUGUGGCCUGUUCCUUUCCUCUGAUUGCUGAUCAUUGCAUGAAUUUCCUGAGAUUAUCACUGAAUAGGACCUUUCUUUUUCCUGUAUCCUCUACUACACACACUGAGUUCAAAUAGAAUUAUUUUACUUGGAAAACUCCAGGUUUUGCUAAGUUCCAGCCUUGGUUUGUGUAGCACUGGUUGGCUGCCUUAGACUAAUUUUUUGGGGGUGUCAGAUAGUAAAAGGAGCACAAUCAAGCACCAGGUCAUCUGAAAGACAAAUUUUAGACGUCACUUUCUUUUGUGAUUUUGUUGCUUAACCCAGUGCAGGGGCAGUCAAAGCUGUAUCACCAUUGCAUUCACUGUCUAGGUAAAAAUGGGAAAAUUCAGUCAGUUAUACUAAUAUUCCUUACUACUUGCAAUUUAUGUUCACUGGCCUAUUGGUAUGAGCAAUGCAUUGUACAUUACAUAUUUGGCAGUAAAAGGACAGAUACCCAGAUGUCAUACUAAAAUUUCUGCAUUUGUUUGAAAAUACUAGUUUAAGCAAUUACAUGUUAUGCAAGUGGUUAGUCCUUCCCUCUCCAGCUUGGCUGCCACCAGUAAUAAUGGAUCAUAACAUCUUCUCCUGUGUGAUCUGAUGCGGCCUUGGGAUUCGUCCCAACGCAGGACUCCAGAGAUCAGUGGAUCAGUGAAUUAUGUUUGGGAGAUGCAACCCCUGUUGUUACUGGGCUGGGGGCCCAAGCAGCUGCUGGUGGGGUGUUCUGCCCUGCAGCAGCACCCUACCUCCACCCUCCCCUUUACAUUUAGAAGAACUGUCCUUUAGUGAGACUGUCAAUGGAAAACAUGAAAAUCAUUCAUUUAAUCCAACAUUUUCAAUCGCAGAGGAAAAACAAGCAGAAGAGUUAAGUCACCAGAGUCAUACAGCUGGUAGGAAAAAUGGGUUCUCUAAAUCUCAGUUUAAACAGAAAUCCUUGUCACACUCUUCUGGGGAUUGAGAAGCGUAAGAUUUUUUUUUUUUUUUUUAAUUGCCUUUCUGAAACUUUAGAAGAAUACCUAUUUGCCCUGUUGGCCAAAACCAGGCAACUGUGUGAAACAGUUGAAUGCUAAAACAAACUAAACAGAUGCUGGAAACUCAACCGUUUGUUUCUUGAACAAAAUUGAUUUUACCUGAUGUCCUCUUGAGCUCAGUUAGACUUUGCCAGAGAGAAAACGAGACUGUCUGCAACUUUAACAAUAAUCACACAGACACAUACUUCUUUCCCCCUUUAGUUUCCCAUUUUGAAAAUAACUCGAGGGCCUGACAAAUGCUGAGUUUGGGCAACAUGGCUGUGUUCUUGAUUGAGGAAAGCAGGCCUGCCUGACCGUGUUUCAACAGUCAGUGCAGAAUCUCAAAAGGAAGUACAAAUAGGAAGGGUUAAGGGUCCUCUUUUUUUGUUCUUUAUUCCACCCGUUGCACACUAGGGUUCUCUCACUUCUUCUUUCAAAUAGGCUUCUCAAAAUGCACUGUGUAUUGGAGCAAAGGGAGUGAGGGAUUGUUUAUUUUUAUUUUUAAAUAAGAAAUGAAACCUAUAAAUUAAUGCCCUAGGGAAAAAAGAAAGUUACUUUCUGCUAUGCACAAUUUUUACCAACAUUGUGUUGGAAGGAAGAAGCAGCUGGCCUGCGGAAGCUAAGCAGAUGCUGGGGCUCUCUCGAGCAGGCUAAGUUGGUGAAAGGUCAGUCCCACACCCACAGCCUGGGCGGGACUGCCUGGCUGCAGAGUCAACAAGGGGAAGUUUAGUAGGUGAAGGGUCACUGCUGCCGAGCAGCAAUAACUUUCCAUGCCUCAGCUCCCAGGCAUCUAGUUUCUGUUCAUGGAAAUAGAGCUCACUAGGGGAAAGGUCGGGGAGACCAAGGCGUCUCUAUCAUAGCCCUGAUCUGACACUGUGUUCUUGCAUGAGGCUCAGCUACUCACUGUGUUCUUGCGUGAGUCUCCUGGCUGUUAGGAAUUCUGCUGCUCAAGUGGAAAAAACAGAUUGCAAAGUACUUCAUAGAUCACCCUGUACUGAGUAUGGCAAACUGAUCAACAGCCUACUUACUGCUACAUUUAUAUUAUUUAAAAUAACUGCCAGGUGAGAUUCUUUUCAAAAGUGUAUUUCAAUAAAGAAACCUGUAGGUUUUCUUAUCAAUUGCUCUAGAGCAAUGAUUCCUAAUCUUCAGGUAGUUUAAUUUGCAACAUUGCUGUGAAAUCUUUAAAACAUGGUGUUUGAAAUGACUCCAGGUCAGCAGAGAACUUCUCCAUGUUCUAGACAAGUGCUUUUUAGAUUGUGGGUUGUAACUAAUUAGUGGAUCAUGAAAUCAGUUUAAUGAGUCACGAACAGCAUUAAAAUGAAAUAGAAUCAAGGGAAAAAAGCAUCUUUGUGGUAAGGGCAGUUUUUUUUUUUUUUUUUUUUUUGGUGUCAAAUUUUUGUUUCAGGUCUAUCUGAAUGAUGAUGUAAGAAGACCACUGUUCUAGAUUUUAAGAACAAAAGCUUUGCUGCCUUGAACCCCCAAAUAAUUGCUCAAAUUCAAACUGGUUGUUAGCUUUUUUAAAAGCUCAGCUGAUUCCGCAGGAUGUUGUGGCUGUGAACUGGGAAGCCUGCCAUGCUAUUAUUUUGAAAAGUGCUGUGCAAACAGUGUUCCUCUCAGAUGGUUUCCAGAGUUAGUUCCUUACAAGCAUUUCCUCUUGAAACAUCGGGAAUCUAAAUAAAGAGAAAGGUGUCUAAUGGUCUAGUCUACCAACUUCACUAUGCUGAUUUAUGAAAGAAUUGCUGAAACCCAGUGAAUAAUAGCAUUUGCCCUUCUUUCUCAAAAAAGCAGCAUUUGCUUUCUUCUGGCAAGGAAUAAUUAAGCUAAUUUCUCCAUGAACCUUGGAAAAAGUGGCAACGAAUAAUGGAUUUGUCCCUCAAAGAACAUUUCAAGCAAACAUCUUAUCAGCUACAAAUUCAUUUGAGGCAGUUCCAGGUCAGCCACAGGCAAUUUUUCUCAUUAAAAUACUGUUUAAACUGUUGUAUCCAGAUGACACAGGAGACAUAUCAGACAAACAACACCUGCAAGAAGAAUUGGUGAAGUAUUGACUUUUCAUCAAUCAAAAAGUUUACUAAGCAGAUGAAAAUAAUUUGCCUUCACAGUGACAUUUUCCUGACGUCUUGCUAGUACUUAAAGGCAUUGUUUUUUCUUUAACACCCAAACUUUAAUUACCAGAAAAGGUUAGCAUCAAAACAAAGGACAUGUUGGUAAUUUAGAGGCCAUAUCAGAAAAAUAAAUUCAUUUUGGUUUGAAUGAAUUUUUUGUCUUGUCUCCUUCUCCCCCUUUGGCCACAUCC